rnacentral:tRNA from 1 species
GCCUGGGUGGUUCAGUUGGUUGAGCAUUUGAUUCUUGAUCUUCACUCAGGACAUGAUUCCAAGGUUGUGGGGUCGAGUCCCAUCUCAGGUU